ensembl:lncRNA
CAAGAGGAGCUGUUAUGGCCCUGGGAGGUGUAUCACAGUAAUAUAGAAUACUAUACGGAUGAGAGAGGGAGGUGUAUCACAGUAAUAUAGAAUACUAUACGGAUGAGAGAGGGAGGUGUAUCACAGUAAUAUAGAAUACUAUACGGAUGAGAGAGGGAGGUGUAUAACAGUAAUAUAGAAUACUAUACGGAUGAGAGAGGGAGGUGUAUCACAGUAAUAUAGAAUACUAUACGGAUGAGAGAGGGAGCUGUAUCACAGUACUGCUGUGAGCGUUGUAGAGACGUGUGACUAACAGGCCUGUCCACAACCUGACACACUGGGUGGCUACACUGAGAUUUGCCUCAGGACAAAGACAGCUAAUAAGUCCUGACAGCCUACUCCAAACAUCACACACAAAACAUCCCA